CAUGAGGUGCCUCCAGGGCAAAACAGGGCUCUGUGAGUGCUUCUUGUGCGUAGAGUGGAGUUCACUCCCUUUCAUUUUGAAAGUGCCUACACACUUUGAUAUCCUAAUGAGAUGCCUACUUGCAUGCCCAGGUUACCUUCAGGAAUCAGGCCUUUAGGCCCUCUUCGUUGGCUGACUAUUGAAAGCGAUGAAAGGGAAACAAAAAAGAACACAUUGGCAAUGGAGGGACAGAACACUGAUGGUGUUGAUGACUCACCAUUACCGCUAUGACCAUAAAUGGAAGAAGACAAGGAAUAAAUUUUACCCUUACCGAGGAGCUGGAUUUAAGAUCUUCCUGGGCAGGUUUUCCAUAUAAAGCAAGUCUCCACUCACAGACAGACAGCACUGCUACAAUCAUGGAGAAAAUGAAGAUGAAUUAAGCUGUAAGGAUGCCCUGACUCAGCACUGGACAGGAAGGGUGACCUGUGUGAAAGUUGACCACGAAAAGAGGAGUCCUGCUGUUGAAUCAGCAUUGCUGUGAUGAAAACAGGUGACUGUAACAUUAAAAAAAAAAAAAAAAGCAGUUGUUCUCACAUUCAUCUUUAUCAGUAAUGUGAUAUUUUUUGAGACAGGAUAGGGUUUGCAGCAGAGCUAGGCAGGAGGUAAGCACUGCUCAACAGCAGCACAGGCUGAGGCUGCUCGGAACCAUUCUAGGCAGAAAACUGACUCUGAAAGAGGGGCAAAAAGGGCCAAUCUUGAAAGAUUGUCCUUUUUGAAGGGUUGAAAGGAAGAUAUCAUAACUUUCACACUCACUUCUUUAAGCCAGAACUCAUUUUCUUUAUAUGUUGUACUACAUCUAGAUGAAGUCUCUUCAAAAGACAACUUCAAGGGAGAUUGAUGUGGAUAAUUAAAAGAUGUUUGAUUUGGUGAUUGAUCUCUUGUGGGCAACAGUGAACAGUGAGAAAGUGUUGUCAGAGUAGCAACAGGAUGUAUUUGAGAAGGAUGC
ensembl:lncRNA